rnacentral:rRNA from 1 species
UACGUAGGGUCCGAGCGUUGUCCGGAAUUACUGGGCGUAAAGAGCUCGUAGGUGGUUUGUCGCGUUGUUCGUGAAAACUCACAGCUCAACUGUGGGCGUGCGGGCGAUACGGGCAGACUUGAGUACUGCAGGGGAGACUGGAAUUCCUGGUGUAGCGGUGGAAUGCGCAGAGUAUCAGGAGGGAACACCGGUGGCGAAGGCGGGUCUCUGGGCCGUAACUGACGCUGGAGGAGCGGAAAGCCGUGGGGAGCAAAGCACGG